AUAAUUUAAUACAAAUUUCAGACACGAAAAAGCGAGCUCUAGUAUCCUGUAAAUCUCUUAACUUGAAUUUAUAAAAGAAUCAGGAAAGAACUAGCACCAAGCAGGAAAUAAAAAGCAAGAAGAAGCAAACCCAAAAUGCAAACACAUGAUCCUCCAGCCAGCCAUUAUCACUUACCCGCAGUCAAAACUAGAACACACUGAACAUCACAAGAUCCAAUAACUUAAAUUUCAUUCCUUUCAUUUACUUUCUCAUAAACCAAACAAAGGA
rnacentral:misc_RNA from 1 species